rnacentral:rRNA from 1 species
AUGGCGGCGCUGGAGAUCGCCUUCGCCGCCAUCAGCGUCGCGGCCAUCAUCGCCAUUGCCUACUUCCUCCACACGUGCUCGCGGGAGGCCACGCCCGUGCCGAUGCCGAUGCCGCCCGGCGCGGAGGAGACGGCGGCCGCCGCCGGCGACGUCGAGCUGCAGCAGGCGGGGAUGGACGAGGCCGCGAUCAGCGCGCUGCCCAAGGUGGUGGUGCACGCGAGCGGCGGGGAAGCGUCCUCGUCGUCCACGAGCUGUGCGGUGUGCCUGGGCGAGUACGACCGGGGGGACGUGCUGCGGGUGCUGCCGGACUGCGCGCACUCGUUCCACCGGCCGUGCGUCGACCAGUGGCUGCGCCUUCGCCCCAGCUGCCCCGUCUGCCGCACGCCGCCGUCCACGCCGGCGCCGGCAGCCGCCUCGCCGAGCCAAACGUGA